AUCCUCCUUCAGCAAACACUUAGAUUUAAGCCGAUGAACAAAACUUUUAAUCUUAAAAAAUAGUCCAAUUUAUAAAUAGAAUUUAUCCUAGGCCCAAAACUAAAAAACCAAAAUUAUAUUAUCGAAAUCAAGCCAAACCGAAUUGACAUAAACCGAACCAAACCGAACUCAUUCGAUUCGAUUUUCGGUACCCACAAUUUCAAUAUUGAAAACUGAAAAAACCAAAAAAAAAUCUGAAACCGAACCAAAACACCAAACGCCCACAUCUAGAAUUAGGGGAUAGAGGGUAUUCACGCCAAAGAAACCCAGGGAAAAAGAGAAAGAAAAAGAAAACCCUCUUCUUUAACAUUGAAGCAACACACUUGACUGGAAAAAAAGUCACGUUAGAGGUAUCGUUUCCUUCAUCUUCAACGCGAGGUAUCGUUUCCUUCAUCUUCAACGCCCUAAAUCACAAGGUUCGGAUAAUUAGUAUCAGCAGCGUGAGUGAUUUUCUAGCAUCUCAUCUACAUCCCUACAAUUGUGAACGCUGGUGAAGGUGAUGAUGUCAUUAUCUAGAGAUCUCGAGGUAGCAUAUUCAUGGUGAGCCCCACACUUGUUCGCGAGGGCAGCUACAUCAUUUAUUCAUUAUGGUAUAUUGUACUCUCAGAGUUUCUCCUUAGUCACAUUGUUUAUUAAUCAUGAGUAUUCUUUAAGUAUUUUGGACUUGUGGAGUAUUGGACUUCCUCUCAUGUUACGGAGAUGUAUUUCAUAGUGUGAUUUGGUGGUAUUUAUGCA